rnacentral:misc_RNA from 1 species
CACCCCUCAAGUCUGACUUGAUGUUGGGCCUUGCCCCCUGGGCAUGCCUAAAAAAUAGCGAUGGUACGUCAAACCACGGGCGCAUACAUGUUGCCACGUUGGGGCGAUGGGCCAGUCACGAUAAAUUUUCUUUUCA